CUACGGGAGGCUCCAGCCGAGGAUAUUCUGCAAUGUACGAAAGUAUGACAGAGCGAGCCAGAGUGUUUCUCUAUAUUUGAGAAACUUUUGUGACAUGUAGAUAGUGUUACGAAUAAGGACCGGGCAAGACUGGUGCCAGUCGCCGCGGUAAUCCCAGCGGUCCAAGUCGCAACCACAAUUAUUGGGUCUAAAACAUCCGUAGCUUGUUCGGUAAGUCUCUUGUGAAAUCCUGCCUCUUAAGGGUAGAAGAGCAAGAGAUACUGCCGGGCUUGAGAUCGGGAGAGGUAGGAAGUACGGUCGGGGUACCGGUAAAAUGGGUUGAUCCCGUCUGGACUAACAACAGCGAAGGCAUCCUACCAGCACGAAUCUGACAGUGAGGGAUGAAGGCUAGGGGCGCAAAAGGGAUUAGAUACCCUUGUAGUC
rnacentral:rRNA from 1 species